rnacentral:rRNA from 1 species
GCAGCAGCCGCGGGAAUACGAAGGGGGCUAGCGUUGCUCGGAAUGACUGAGCGUAAAGGGCGCGUAGGCGGCUGACACAGUCAGAUGUGAAAUUCCUGGGCUUAACCUGGGGACUGCGCUUAAUACAGGCAGUCUAGAGUGAGGAAGAGGGUUGUGGAAUUCCCAGUGUAGAGGUGAAAUUCGUAGAUAUUGGGAAGAACACCGGUGGCGAAGGCGGCAACCUGGUCCUUGACUGACGCUGAGGCGCGAAAGCGUGGGGAGCAAACAGGAUUAGAUACCCCAGUAGUCCCUGUCUCUUAUAC